rnacentral:lncRNA from 1 species
UUUAAGCAGCAUAUGAAAUCCAAUAGAGUUUUGCAGGGUGUUCUAACAUUUAACUUUAACUUUUAAGAGAUAAUGAGAAGAAGUCUUCUGAGAGAAGUCUCCUGCUUAACUCAAGCUAUGGAACAUUGAGCUACUGCUGUAAAAAUCAAAGAACCGAAGAAAUCAAAACAGUCAGGUGUGUCUGUUUACAGGACAGAAUAUGAGAAUGAUCCAGCACCAGACAGUGUGGAUUGAAGAGGAUACCUGAACCAGUUUACUGUCAAGAAGGCUGUGUCAUCACAGACCUCCAGUGAACCAACAGUUGCACCCUGAAACCAGAUGUACAUAUUGUAAUUAUAAAAUAUCAGCUCUCGGUUCAUUGUGGAUGUGGAAACGUAAUGCAGUAGGCCUGGAAAAGGUAAGAAUUUGUAUGUUAGCUUAUGUUUUUGUUAGGUUAUGUUAUUAAUUUGAUUGUUCAUUGUUUAUUUGAAUGUACUUCAGAGCAUAUUCCUUCCUUAUUUUGGUAACUCAC